rnacentral:misc_RNA from 1 species
GAUGAAGAACGCAGCGAAAUGCGAUAAGUAAUGUGAAUUGCAGAAUUCAGUGAAUCAUCGAAUCUUUGAACGCACCUUGCGCCCUUUGGCCAUUCCGAAGGGCAUGCCUGUUUGGGUAUCAUGAACACCUCAACUCUCAUGGCUCGCCAUGAUGAGCUUGGAUUUGGGGGUCUUGCUGGCCUGUGGUCGGCUCCUCUCAAAUGGAUCAGCUUGCCAGUGUUUGGUGGCAUCACAGGUGUGAUAACUAUCUGCGCUUGUGGUUUUCCAUCAGAUAACCUUCAGUGAUGGAGGUUCGCUGGAGCUCAUAAACGUCUCCCCUAAGCGGGGACAGCCCUUUGAAUGUUUGAUCUCAAAUCAGGUAGGACUACCCGCUGAACUUAAGCAUAUCAAUAAGCGGAGGA